GUUUAGUUGACGAAUCCCAAAUAGGAUGAAACGCUCGUUAAACUGGAU
rnacentral:hammerhead_ribozyme from 1 species